GACGAACGCUGGCGGCGUGCUUAACACAUGCAAGUCGAACGGAAAGGCCCUGCUUUUGUGGGGUGCUCGAGUGGCGAACGGGUGAGUAACACGUGAGUAACCUGCCCUUGACUUUGGGAUAACUUCAGGAAACUGGGGCUAAUACCGGAUAGGAGCUCCUGCUGCAUGGUGGGGGUUGGAAAGUUUCGGCGGUUGGGGAUAGACUCGCGGCUUAUCAGCUUGUUGGUGGGGUAGUGGCUUACCAAGGCUUUGACGGGUAGCCGGCCUGAGAGGGUGACCGGCCACGUUGGGACUGAGAUACGGCCCAGACUCCUACGGGAGGCAGCAGUGGGGAAUAUUGCACAAUGGGCGGAAGCCUGAUGCAGCAACGCCGCGUGCGGGAUGACGGCCUUCGGGUUGUAAACCGCUUUCGCCUGUGACGAAGCGUGAGUGACGGUAAUGGGUAAAGAAGCACCGGCUAACUACGUG
rnacentral:rRNA from 1 species